rnacentral:rRNA from 1 species
GGAAAAGAAACUAACAAGGAUUCCCCUAGUAACUGCGAGUGAAGCGGGAAGAGCUCAAAUUUUGAAUCUGGCGGUGUUGGGCCGUCCGAGUUGUAAUCUAGAGAAGUGUUUUCCGCGCUGGACCGUGUAUAAGUCUCCUGGAAGGGAGCGUCAUAGAGGGUGAGAGUCCCGUCUUUGACACGGGCGAACCAGUGCUAUGUGAUGCGCUCUCAACGAGUCGAGUUGUUUGGGAAUGCAGCUCAAAAUGGGUGGUAAAUUCCAUCUAAAGCUAAAUACAGGCGAGAGACCGAUAGCGAACAAGUACCGUGAGGGAAAGAUGAAAAGAACUUUGGAAAGAGAGUUAAACAGUAUGUGAAAUUGCUGAAAGGGAAACGCUUGAUGUCAGUCACAUCGGCCAGGGAUCAACCUUGCUUUUAUGGCUGGGUGUAYUUCCUGGUAGAUGGGUCAGCAUCAGUUUCGGUCRCUGUAAAAGGGCRASAGGAAUGUGGCACUCUUUGGAGUGUKUUAUAGCCUUUGGUCAUAUGCAGUGAAUGGGGACUGAGGAACUCGGCACGGCUUUGUAGCAUUUGUGCUUUAG